rnacentral:rRNA from 1 species
UACGUAGGGUGCAAGCGUUAAUCGGAAUUACUGGGCGUAAAGCGUGCGCAGGCGGUUAUAUAAGACAGUUGGGAAAUCCCCGGGCUCAACCUGGGAACUGCAUCUGUGACUGUAUAGCUAGAGUACGGUAGAGGGGGAUGGAAUUCCGCGUGUAGCAGUGAAAUGCGUAGAUAUGCGGAGGAACACCGAUGGCGAAGGCAAUCCCCUGGACCUGUACUGACGCUCAUGCACGAAAGCGUGGGGAGCAAACAGG